rnacentral:rRNA from 1 species
AGGACGAACGCUGGCGGCGUGCCUAAGACAUGCAAGUCGAACGGUCCAAGCAAUUGGACAGUGGCGAACGGCGGAGUAAUACAUGAACAACGUGCCCCAAAGACUGGGAUAGUCGCUGGAAACGGCGGGUAAUACCAGAUGCGGCGUUUCACAGGCAUCUGUGGAACAUCAAACGGUUUUUCGCUUUGGGAGCGGUUCAUGGCCUAUCAGGUAGUUGGUGAGGUAAAGGCUCACCAAGCCGACGACGGGUAGCGGGUCUGAGAGGAUGAUCCGCUCGAGUGGGACUGAGACACGGCCCACACACCUACGGGUGGCAGCAGUUGGGAAUCUUGCACAAUGGGGGAAACCCUGAUGCAGCGACGCCGCGUGGAGGAUGAAUGGUUAGGCCUGUAAACUCCUUUUAUCAGGAAAGACUUAGGACGGUACCUGAUGAAUAAGCACCGGCUAACACGUGCCAGCAGCCG